CUCUGACUCUUUAGAUUUCAGAUAAUUCAGCAACGCAUGCAAAAGUCCAACACCCAACUCCUCUAACUUUAUCCAAGUACCACAACAUAGUUCAUAAUCUACCAAGCCUAUUCAUGUAUAAAAUCAAAAUAUAUGCAUUUCCGAUGACAGCAAUAGUAUUGAAGUUCAUGGAAAGUGGACAUAUUGCAGACAUGCGUUCGUG
rnacentral:lncRNA from 1 species